rnacentral:lncRNA from 1 species
ACACACUGAGAAUAAAAAAUUACACACUGAGAAUUAAAAAUUACACACUGAGAUUUCAUAAAGACGCACUGAGAUUACAAAAAUGAAAAACACACACUGAGAAUUGAAAAUUACACACUGAGAAUUGAAAAUUACACACUGAGAUUUCAAAAAGACACACUUAGAAUAAAUAAACUGAAAACACACACUGAGAAUUUGAAAUUACACACUUUUUUAUGCGCACAUAUCUAAUUAGCAUACUUCAUCUGAAUCUAUUACAAGCUUAAAACAACUAGGGGACAGAACUCGUUAGUCCUUCGAUUUGGUUCCAAAUUAUUUAUAAAAAAAACUUUAGAAAUACAAGAACAAGAAAAAUACCCACUUACUCUUAUUACAAAAUAUAAACAAAUGGUGAAAAACUUUAUUAAAAUUAUAAGAAAACAUUGGAACAAUCUGC